rnacentral:rRNA from 1 species
AUUAAACGCUGGCGGCAUGCUUUACACAUGCAAGUCGAACGGUAACAGGCCGCAAGGUGCUGACGAGUGGCGAACGGGUGAGUAAUACAUCGGAACGUGCCCAGUCGUGGGGGAUAACGCAGCGAAAGCUGCGCUAAUACCGCAUACGAUCUAUGGAUGAAAGCGGGGGACCGUAAGGCCUCGCGCGAUUGGAGCGGCCGAUGUCAGAUUAGGUAGUUGGUGGGGUAAAGGCUCACCAAGCCAACGAUCUGUAGCUGGUCUGAGAGGACGACCAGCCACACUGGGACUGAGACACGGCCCAGACUCCUACGGGAGGCAGCAGUGGGGAAUUUUGGACAAUGGGCGCAAGCCUGAUCCAGCAAUGCCGCGUGCAGGAAGAAGGCCUUCGGGUUGUAAACUGCUUUUGUACGGAACGAAAAGGCUCUGGUUAAUACCUGGGGCUCAUGACGGUACCGUAAGAAUAAGCACCGGCUAACUACGUGCCAGCCGCCGCAGUAAAAC